rnacentral:tRNA from 2 species
GGGAGUGCAUGAGUCCCGGUGGACUUCUCGGUCUUCAAAACCGAUGACGGGCAGCGUGCCUGUCCGUGGUGGGUUCGACUCCCAUGUAUUCCCG